rnacentral:rRNA from 1 species
AUUGAACGCUGGCGGCAGGCCUAACACAUGCCAGUCGAGCGGAUGAAGGGAGCUUGCUCCUGGAUUCAGCGGCGGACGGGUGAGUAAUGCCUAGGAAUCUGCCUGGUAGUGGGGGAUAACGUCCGGAAACGGGCGCUAAUACCGCAUACGUCCUGAGGGAGAAAGUGGGGGAUCUUCGGACCUCACGCUAUCAGAUGAGCCUAGGUCGGAUUAGCUAGUUGGUGGGGUAAAGGCCUACCAAGGCGACGAUCCGUAGCUGGUCUGAGAGGAUGAUCAGUCACACUGGAACUGAGACACGGUCCAGACUCCUACGGGAGGCAGCAGUGGGGAAUAUUGGACAAUGGGCGAAAGCCUGAUCCAGCCAUGCCGCGUGUGUGAAGAAGGUCUUCGGAUUGUAAAGCACUUUAAGUUGGGAGGAAGGGCAGUAAGUUAAUACCUUGCUGUUUUGACGUUACCAACAGAAUAAGCACCGGCUAACUUCGUG